rnacentral:rRNA from 1 species
UACAGAGGGGGCAAGCGUUGUUCGGAAUUACUGGGCGUAAAGGGCGCGUAGGCGGCCUGCUAAGUCGAACGUGAAAUCCCUGGGCUCAACCCAGGAACUGCGUCCGAUACUGGUUGGCUUGAAUCCGGAAGAGGCGAGUGGAAUUCCUGGUGUAGCGGUGAAAUGCGCAGAUAUCAGGAGGAACACCGAUGGCGAAGGCAGCUCGCUGGGACGGUACUGACGCUGAGGCGCGAAAGCGUGGGGAGCAAACAGG